rnacentral:rRNA from 1 species
AUUGAACGCUGGCGGCGUGCUUAACACAUGCAAGUCGAUCGGUAACAGGUGUAGCAAUACAUGCUGACGAGAGGCGGACGGGUGAGUAAUGCUUGGGAAUCUGCCUAUUAGUGGGGGACAACCCGGGGAAACUCGGGCUAAUACCGCAUACGCUCUACGGAGGAGAGCCGGGGACCGCAAGGCCUGGCGCUAAUAGAUGAGCCCAAGUCGGAUUAGCUAGUUGGUAGGGAACGGCCUACCAAGGCGACAAUCCGUAGCUGGUCUGAGAGGACGACCAGCCACACCGGAACUGAGACACGGUCCGGACUCCUACGGGAGGCAGCAGUGGGAAUAUUGGACAAUGGGGGCAACCCUGAUCCAGCGACGCCGCGUGGGUGAAGAAGGCCUGCGGGUUGUAAAGCCCUUUCGGUGGGGAAGAAAAGUCUCGACCUAAUACGUCGGGACCUUGACGUAACCCACUAAAGAAGCACCGGCUAACUCUGUGACAGCCGCCG